GUACGUAGACAAUACUCUCCCCUCGUUGCUAUGCAUCACAUGAUCUUGCAUGUGCGUAGGAAAUUUUUUGAAAUUACUACGAAACCCAACACCAUCUCCCAACGACCUCCACCUCCAGCCAUCCCUAGCAUAGUCCACCUUCUCUUCUCUACCUUCCUAGCCAGGUCGGCGCAACUAAUGGUGCUGGUGUCAAGGACCUGCACCUUUCUCAUGCCUGUGCUAAAAUUUCAAAUCUCUAUUAAUAGUCCCACCCUGCUCUUUUACAUGAAAUCUUACAAACUUAUAUACGUUCAUGCGUUGCAAGAUCAACAAGCCAACAAAGAGAGGAUGAGAGGUGCCUGUCGCAUGUAUUAUGCGUCACCAAUCGAAAUGAACAAAAAGAGGAGAGGCGCAUAAUGGAAAGAAAGGUCUCAGUUAAAUUGCCAUUUGAGCUAAUAAUCCUAAAGAAGGAGAGAGAGCCUUGGAUGUCUAUGGUACAGUCAUGUGGGAGCUUUCACCGGAGGCAACUUCGACACUCCCACAUCCGCGCCUACCGGCAGACGAGCAACACCACCCUGCCUACCGCGCCUCCGCCACAGCCCCCGCGCGCUGGCAUGGCAUAUGGUCGGCCGCCAGAUCUGGCGAGCAACCGAGCCACUGCACACCGGCUCCGUUGCCUGCAGCCACAAUCGGGGUGAGCUACACCACCACGGCACGGGGACUCCGCCCUUGUCCCGGUGCACCGACGAGCACGCUGUCACCGCCCCAGCUGUUGCAGCAAACACGUCGGCGCUGCCAGCCAGGAAGUGGCUGCCUAGCCACCGUGGGCGAGAAGAGGAGAGCAGCGCUUGGCUGGUGUUAGUGGAUGGAGAAGAGAAGGACGAGCUACUUUGGGCGAUGAAGUAGCAUGAGGAGGAAGAUGGGGGUGGAGCGGAUGGAUAAGAUAAACGGCGCUGUGUGGAGGCGAUGAAGUAGCAUGAGGAGGAAGAUGGGGGCGAAGCGGAUGGAUAAGAGAAACGGCGCUGUGUGGAUAGAAACGAGGCACACAGUGGGCCGUCGGUGGGGAUUUCUGGGUGUGCAUGUUGCUUUUUUAAAAAAAAUCAAAACUGUACGAACUGGAACUCUGGAAGGUGCUAGAUGCGGCAUCCAGGCGGCUGGAACGGGACCAGAAUGUGAUGUGCAUGCGCGUGCCUUCCUGCUGGGAUUGAUGUACUACUACUAAGUACUAACCAGACCAAGAUGAGUAGUAAGUACUGGGGUAUUUAUGUUGUUCAGAGUUAUUCGUGGGUGUAUAUCAAUCAAGGGAUUCGUGUUGUUCAGUUUGACUGUGCUUUAGUUUUGUUGUAGGAUUGAAAAAAAUUGUACAAUUUUGGUUGUUUUUUUAUACUUUUGCUUUUUUCAUCCACAAAUUUGAAUUUUGAAUUGUCCUUUUCAUCCGAGAUUUUCCGAAAAAAGUUUAAAAUUCCAAAAUUCGCCCAUUUCAUUCAAGGGCAGUAAAAUUUGCAAAACGAAACAUAAAACCUUGGCUGGAUGCUAUGCAUGCUUGCACCGAUUAUAAUUCUUUUUUUUAGAUGAGCACAAAUUAUAAUUACUUGUUGUUGCUUGUUGUUACUGUUAUAAUUUAAUAUUCAUGCUUGCCAGAUCUUAGGAUUAUCAGAUAGACUAACUAAAAGUGAGUGAUUAUUGGAAAGAAAUAAUUCUUAAGGUAGAAGAUAUUGGGGCUCACUAUUACUUGUUGAUCAUCAAAAUAUUCCUCAAGUCUGAAUGUCAUCAAUGUCGUUGGUGAGAUAGGCAAGAGAGAGGAGGGAUGAAUAGUAGAGAUAGUGUGACAACGGUGCAUCUUGCUCGCGUCUUAUUUCGACCCACACACCAACUAGGAGGUAGGAGCUCUUGCCUUUAGGACGUGAAAACUGAAAAGGACACGAACACUAUCCAUAGCUGGAUAAGGGUUAGGCGAUGUUGUACUAAUAUAUAUACAACACAGGU
rnacentral:rRNA from 1 species